rnacentral:rRNA from 1 species
GACGAACGCUGGCGGCGUGCUUAACACAUGCAAGUCGAACGGAAAGGCCCUGCUUUUGUGGGGUGCUCGAGUGGCGAACGGGUGAGUAACACGUGAGUAACCUGCCCUUGACUUUGGGAUAACUUCAGGAAACUGGGGCUAAUACCGGAUAGGAGCUCCUGCUGCAUGGUGGGGGUUGGAAAGUUUCGGCGGUUGGGGAUGGACUCGCGGCUUAUCAGCUUGUUGGUGGGGUAGUGGCUUACCAAGGCUUUGACGGGUAGCCGGCCUGAGAGGGUGACCGGCCACAUUGGGACUGAGAUACGGCCCAGACUCCUACGGGAGGCAGAAGUGGGGAAUAUUGCACAAUGGGCGGAAGCCUGAGGCAGCAACGCCGCGUGCGGGAUGACGGCCUUCGGGUUGUAAACCGCUUUCGCCUGUGACGAAGCGUGAGUGACGGUAAUGGGUAAAGAAGCACCGGCUAACUACGUG